AUUGAACGCUGGCGGCAGGCCUAACACAUGCAAGUCGAGCGGAUGACGGGAGCUUGCUCCUUGAUUCAGCGGCGGACGGGUGAGUAAUGCCUAGGAAUCUGCCUGGUAGUGGGGGACAACGUUUCGAAAGGAACGCUAAUACCGCAUACGUCCUACGGGAGAAAGCAGGGGACCUUCGGGCCUUGCACUAUCAGAUGAGCCUAGGUCGGAUUAGCUAGUUGGUAGGGUAAUGGCUCACCAAGGCGACGAUCCGUAACUGGUCUGAGAGGAUGAUCAGACACACUGGAACUGGGACACGGGACAGACUCCUACGGGAGGCAGCAGUGAGGAAUAUUGGACAAUGGGCGAAAGCCUGAUCCAGCCAUGCCGCGUGUGUGAAGAAGGUCUUCGGAUUGUAAAGAACUUUAAGUUGGGAGGAAGGGCAGUAAGCUAAUACCUUGCUGUUUUGACGUUACCGACAGAAUAAGCACCGGCUAACUCUGUGCCAGCCGCCGCCGUAA
rnacentral:rRNA from 1 species